GGAUAAGCCUAGCGCUAAGGCUCAAUAGGAUGGCCAGUAGCAAUAUUGGUCGUCUUUAACCGAAGAGGCUAUUGAGCGGUGCAGCGUUACAAACCGCGAUGUUUAGUGGUGCCAUUGGUAGUAUUUGGGUAACCAAAUGCUACUCCUAGCUUAGCAUGCAAGUUCCAUUGACUUGGACUAAUUGCAAAUGACUACAAGCUUGGGGYAACUUGGGCAUGUAGUUGAGCCAGAGCGGGUGUAAGCCCCAUACCGUGCAAGCAUUGGUAACACGAAUCGUGGACGUGGGCCCCUAAGUGGACCCACGAAUUUGUUAGAGUCGAGUUGCUUGAGAGUGCAACUUAAAGUGCGAGGUAAACUACUCGUAAGGCUAUUUGAAAAUACGGCUACGACACCGAUAGCAAACAAGUACCGUGAGGGAAAGUUGAAAUAGAACUUUGCAGAGAGAGUUAACAGGGCGUGAAACCGUUAAUUGGCAAACGAAUCGGAGCCACGAAGUCGUUUCGUAGUUAGUUGGGGCCAAGUUCAGCUUGCAAUCCGUUUGCUGGUGUAUUCUUGUGCCUAACCAAACUUUGUAAGCGUACACUGCAACCAGUUAGACGAUUGGCUAUGGGCCUAGUUGCUUGAUUUUGGGGGUUAAACCUUAAAAUUUAGGUAACGAAGUAUUUGUUUACCCAAGUUAGUAGUAGUGAGGUGUAUACUCUCGGGUGUGCACUCUUGUUGCUGGACUUUGUGGUAAGUGAGCUAUGGCCAAAUACUGACUGGCACAAUGAAAAUCGCCCUCUUUGGGUGUAUUAAACAAUGCAAUUAGUUAUAUUAAUGCCCACAUUAUUAAAUCACUGGGUCUAAGCUCAGCACUUUUGAAUUCAGACUUGCUUGCUGUUAGUGGGGCAACUCCUGGCGCUUGUAUAGUUUCUGUCUAAUCAGGUGUUGACUUGGCUUAGUUGGCUUUGAUAUGCUACGAUAGGGUGUAAAUAUAAACUAAUUUGCUAGAAUUGGCAGUGAGUAGGUCGGCUUUCCGAACGACCCGUCUUGAAACACGGACCAAGGAGUCUAGUUAGGCAUCAAGUCGAUCGGUCUUGAAUAGGCCAGACUAAGGUAUACUUGUUAUAUCUUGAUUGAAGGCGAAGAGAAAUCAAAUCAUGUGAUCAUGGGGGCAACAACAGCCUACAUGCGCAACAUGUGCCUGUUCGUAUAACAAUGUUAGUGCAAACUAACUUGUUGAGCGGAGUAAAGAGGUGCCUGAUUGGGACCCGAAAGAUGGUGAACUAUGCUUGGGCAAAUUGAAGCCAGAGGAAACUCUGGUGGAGGAUUGUAGCGAUUCUGACGUGCAAAUCGAUCGUCAGACCUGAGUAUAGGGGCGAAAGACUAAUCGAACCAUCUAGUAGCUGGUUCCCUCCGAAGUUUCCCUCAGGAUAGCUAGCGCUCGUUGAAAAAUAGUUUCAUCCGGUAAAGCUAAUGAUUAGAGGAAUUGGGAGCGAAACGCUCUCAACCUAUUCUCAAACUUUAAAUGGGUGAGAUGUGCGACAUGCUUAAUUGAUGCCGCAUUUUCAUAGAAUAUAUUGGGCGCUAAGUGGGCCAUUUUUGGUAAGCAGAACUGGCGAUGCGGGAUGAACCGAAAGCAAAGUUAAAGUUGCCGAUAAUAGUAACGAAAACAAAUAGUUACUUGCUACACUCAUGAGAUCCCAUAAAAGGUGUGACCC
rnacentral:rRNA from 1 species